rnacentral:rRNA from 1 species
UGAGUAACACGUGGAUAACCUACCUAUAAGACUGGGAUAACUUCGGGAAACCGGAGCUAAUACCGGAUAAUAUAUUGAACCGCAUGGUUCAAUAGUGAAAGACGGUUUUGCUGUCACUUAUAGAUGGAUCCGCGCCGCAUUAGCUAGUUGGUAAGGUAACGGCUUACCAAUGCAACGAUGCGUAGCCGACCUGAGAGGGUGAUCGGCCACACUGUAACUGAGACACGGUCCAG